UGAGGGAUAUUGGUCAAUGGGCGCAAGCCUGAACCAGCGACGCCGCGUGGGUGAAGAAGGUCUUCGGAUCGUAAAGCCCUUUUCCCACUGAAGAGGAAGGACGGUAGGUGGGGAAGAAGUCUCGGCUAACUACGUGCCAGCAGCCGCGGUAAAACGUAGGGAGCAAGCGUUGUUCGGAUUUACUGGGCGUAAAGGGCGCGUAGGCGGCGCGGUAAGUCACUUGUGAAAUCUCUGAGCUUAACUCAGAACGGCCAAGUGAUACUGCUGUGCUAGAGUGCGGAAGAGGCAACCCGAAUUCUUGGUGUAGCGGUGAAAUGCGUAGAUAUCAAGAGAAACACCUGAGGCGAAGGCGGGUUGCUGGGCCGACACUGACGCUGAUGCGCGAAAGCCAGGGGAGCAAACG
rnacentral:rRNA from 1 species